AGUGGAAUUGCUGGGUUGUAUGGUAAGUGAAUGUUUAUAAGAAUCUGCCAAACUGUUUUCCAAAUGGGCUGUACCAUUGUGCAUUCCCAUGAGCAAC
rnacentral:pre_miRNA from 3 species